UUUGGCUGGUCUCAAGCUCAUGAAAUUCUCCUGCCUCAGAAUUCCAAGUCUGUGGGAUUACACAGGUGUGAGCUAGGGGCAUUUCUUGCUUCUCUUGCCCCUUUCUUUGUUCAGUACCAGGGAUCCAUCCCUCCCCAUCUUGCAUAUGUUAGGGGAAAGCUUGACUCGUCACCUCUUGCAGAGAAAUGCUUCUGUGUCCCCAGCUUUCUGCUCCAUCAUCAGGUGGCCAACGGCAUGGACCCUGGAGUAAGGCAGACCUGGACUUGGAUCUCAGCACUCUGACUGAGGAGCUCUAUCACCUUGGGGACUCAAGGCUAUGUGAAACACCUUUGAUGGAAGAUUUGUCCUUAUAAAACAUGAGUGCUAUGACUCUCAGGUCCCAGGGACCUUGCUGAUUCAAGGCAUCAUUGUGAAGUCCAGUUACCAGCUACGUGACCUGGAACAAGUUAGCAAUUUGAGUCCCAAGAGAAAGAAUUCUUUCAGGACCCUGUGUGGAUAAGAACUGAGGUUCAGAAAUAUGUACAGAUUUGCUUUCCCUUCAGGGAAAAUGAAUGCCAAAUCUAGAAGUUAAGUUGAUUCUACAAUCAAGUGUCUCUGAUUGGGACUAUGGUGUUCAGUAUUACUAGCCUUUGAGGAUCUGGAUACUUCUAGAAAACAGCCUUCGGAAUCCCACAGUGCCAAUCUCUCGGUGCAAAGGGUAGAGGAACCUUUAGAACCCGGAAGAAGAGAAAGGUGCCAUUCGGAGACACUGUUGGAGAGGAGACAGGACCUUUGCAAGAAAUGCAUGUUGGGCAACAUUAAAUAUGAUGCUAGGCAUUAGGUGAGAGGUCAGAAACGAAAACGGAGCCCUGGGGGAUACACAUGCAAGUGAAAGGAGACUGGGGCAGGGAGAGCCGGCCGGGGCUGGAACUGCACGUGCAGCUCACCCAGGGGAUGGAGAGCAAGGUUUGGCAGACUGCUACGGCGUUUAACCUACUUAGCCCAGUGUUGUCCAAGGAAAAAUACCCCACAUAAAAAUCAUCUUCAUAUAUGUUCAUAUUAUUUAUAAAAAAAAAAAAAAAAGCUGCCUUUGGCCAGUCUGAUCAUAGUACAUUUUACUUUGUAAACAAUUUCCAGCUGUCUGAGACGGGAGAAUUUUUCACAUGUAAUCCAACAGGCUAAGUUUGGAAUCAAAACAGCACAACAUGUCAUCCCAGAGGUUAUGACUCAAAUAUCACAUCAGAGCAGAGCCUUGUCAGCCUUGUGUGUAUAUCUAGGGUCUCGAGAGAUUGUUUUGAGAAGGCUGCAGGCUGGGAAGGUCACCACAGGAACAGAUCUUAUGCCGAUAUGGAACGACUGGUGGAAACGUCUAAAUAAGGAUUUUCUUUUUCUUCCUGGCAUGGGCAUCAUGGGCUAACCUCUAAUUAUACAGGAGAGCAGAGACAGAGAGAUACAUUGCAUUUCUAAGUUAAAUGCAAAUGUUCUGGAUUAUCGCAACGGACCGACCACCAUCGCUACUUCUCUUGAGAAGAGCCAUGGCGGUGCUACCAGUGUUUGUCAGCAAAGUCCCCCCAUACCUCUGGCCAUAUUCCAAACUACCUCUAACAGAUAUACCACCAGAGGACAGCCCCUUUGUGUCUGGGGUGUUAGCUUUGUGAAAAAAGCUCAAGGACACCCAGCCAGUGACAAACUUUUCCAUUUUCAGUGUUCGUUGAUCAGAAAGGCAAGGUAGGCUGCUGAGUCUGGAUCGUUGCCUCCCGGUGGCCUGUGACUGCUUCCUCGAAAGCACCAGUUUAUCUAAAUGAAAAUCAUGCUUUCAGCCUUUGGGAAGAUAAACAUCUGAACUACCAAGAGACAUGGAGAGGAUUCUGGAAGGUGUCUAGAACUAUGGAAAAAGUGUAGUGUAGUCAUGAAAUGCAGGACAGUGAUGGCAUCUGGGGACGAGGCUCUAACCCUACCCUAUCAGCUACACAUGAGACUUGUGACAGGUUGCCUAAUCUCUCUCAGCUUCUCCAUGCUCAGCUGUAAAGCAGGAUAAUCUGUUACUGACAAAGGGGAUUGCACAAAAUCCAGGGAAAUCUCUGCUCAUUCUUGGCUUGUCAUAAGGACUUGAUAGAUUGUAGUUAUUACGGUUGUCGAGAUUGUUUUCCUACAGAAAGCAGAACAAACACUUGAUAAAGUAAGCCUUUCUGGGUAACAGAGUUGUGGGAGAAGGUGAAGCCAAAAAUAUUUAUUAACACACCCACCUUGAUAAUGUCAGGGUUUCGAGAUAUAACAGUGGCACCAGGAAACAGUCCAAAAACGUACACAGGAUGGCAUGGGCGGUAAAUAAAUGGAACAUAUUCCAGAAGUAAGAAUUCAAAGCGUUUAAGGUAUUGGAAUUCAGAGUGGGUCUCCUUGCCCACCAAGGAGGCCAGCCAAUCUGGAACUCAUCAGAGAUCAAAAAGAUGCCUGAAAUUCCUCUGCCUACUCCUGCAGCCCCACUUGAGGGGCUUAGCUGAGGAUCACUGAGUGCCUGCCAUUCUAUAUGUUAGAUCCUUACAAAGAAACCUGGGCUUGCCUCUGCAGAGAGCGGGUUAGAGGCAGCUCAGAGUUUGCAGGCUGUGUGCUUUGAAGUAAGAGAGAGCCACAACUUAAACAAACAGGCAAACUAACAAAUCCCAUAUUUCCUAGGCUUGUGCUUCCUGUCAGAGCCCCGAUGAGCUGUGUCUAGGGACUCUGCAGAGACCUAGAAGAAACUUCUUAGAGACAAGGAAGAGGGACACACAUGUCAGGUGAUGUCCCUCUCAGAUACAUUUGAACACUGGCCCACACAAAGACUAGUGAUGCUUUCGUAUUAAUAGCUAAUAACAUUACUAAUACUAAUGAUUAAUUAGUAAUAAUAGUCACUGUAUAAACUGAUGACCUGAUCCCUCCAUGGUCUGGUUAAGGGGAAGGUUUUUAUUGUAGAUUCAAGGGGAAGGCACAACCAGAGCCACCGAGAAGAAUCAGGGCAGAAAGAGAAAGAAGUUGACUGAACAUGUCCAGCAAGGGGCCGAGAGAGAAGCAGGAGCAGAACAAGCAGGAAAUGCUGGGGAAAGCCAAGAUGUCAGCACUGUGUUAUCAGGGACGUGUGAUACCUCGGGAGCCUGGAGGCCAGAUGUGCUCGUGUAUGUUAGUAAGCCUUUCAGUCAGCUUUUGCCCCUCUGUCAGCAGACGUCUCUUUUGCCAGAGGGGAACUGGCUUUACAAGCUCCGGAGGAAUGCUUUUGUCUGACCACUGGAAUUUGGGGAAAUGGAGUCUCCUUUGGACCUGACAGCUUUUGCCAAUCAUUCCAUCACAAAUAGGUGUUAGAUGUCAUGCUAGAUGCUAGAAACCUUAUUUUUAAAAAUAUAUUUGGUUAUUUUAAAUGGCAGUGUGCGUGUUUCUCUAACCUCCCUCAGUUAAUGGGCAUUGAAGUAAGCAUCAUUGCAGGAGACAUCUGAAUACACACACCUUUGAUAUGUGACAGAGAGUUCUUCUAAAAGAAUAUUGGAAUCAAAAUCUCCAGGAUACAUACAUACAUACAUACAUACAUACAUACAUACAUACAUACAUAUUUAACAUAUUGUUGGGUUAGACUAAUUUCCUGCUAAAAGAAAAUGGGUGCCAGGAACUUACCAUAGCAUGCUUAAUAUUUAACAACAAUCCAAUCUGUGAUUUAAAAAAAAAUCUAGUAAGCUUAAUGUAUAUUAACGUAUAUUACAUUGACCUCCUAUAUUAAGCCAUAGAAGGAGGCUCUGAAAGGUUGAGUCAGUCAAGGUCACACAGCUAAAGUACAUCAGAACUGGGCAUGAGUGCAGGCUUCAUCUUAAUUUCCUGCCAACCCUUUCCACAGGCAAGUCAUUCAAGAACAUCACUCAACUCAGAAAGGGCCCCUUGCUUAACUGCUAUGGCAAUGGAAGGUCUAGCCAUCCAGGGCAGUAGGAUAGCACACAACACUUGCUUUCUCUGGCCACCGUACCUAGCUAAGGGCAUGUAGAACUCAGUAGUCGUGUACAUGUGCCAAUAUAUCCCAAUUGCCAGUACAGAACAGACCCAGGGUAAAACUCUAUUAUUCUGCUUAUACCUCUAGAGACUAAUUCAAAACAAGCACUACACUUAUGGAAGCCUUCACUUAAUUAUAGUUAGUUUGUUUUGACUCUUAUCUCUAUGGAAACAAGCCAGAAGGAACCGUGGAUA
rnacentral:lncRNA from 1 species